GAUGAACGCUGGCGGCGUGCCUAAUACAUGCAAGUCGAGCGAAUGGAUUAAGAGCUUGCUCUUAUGAAGUUAGCGGCGGACGGGUGAGUAACACGUGGGUAACCUGCCCAUAAGACUGGGAUAACUCCGGGAAACCGGGGCUAAUACCGGAUAACAUUUUGAACCGCAUGGUUCGAAAUUGAAAGGCGGCUUCGGCUGUCACUUAUGGAUGGACCCGCGUUGCAUUAGCUAGUUGGUGAGGUAACGGCUCACCAAGGCAACGAUGCGUAGCCGACCUGAGAGGGUGAUCGGCCACACGGGGACUGAGACACGGCCCAGACUCCUACGGGAGGCAGCAGUAGGGAAUCUUCCGCAAUGGACGAAAGUCUGACGGAGCAACGCCGCGUGAGUGAUGAAGGCUUACGGGUCGUAAAACUCUGUUGUUAGGGAAGAACAAGUGCUAGUUGAAUAAGCUGGCACCUUGACGGUACCUAACCAGAAAGCCACGGCUAACUACGUGCCAGCCGCCGCAGUAA
rnacentral:rRNA from 1 species